CUGGUAUCCCGAUUUUCCUCACUGUUGUGAGAUAACCAUGUCCUUCAAAGUGCAUCUUUCCAGUUGCUGUGUAGCAGAUGCAGUACCCUGAUGCAGGAAAAGCAGAGCAUGCACAAGGGCAAAGAACAUGCGGAGAUUCUCCAACUUGUGCUCAAUUUUGCUGCACACCCCAAACUGCUCUGAAAUAGUAAAUCUAAAGUAAAGAAGGAGAUGAACUACUAAGCCAUGAAAACACACAGAACCACCUUAAAUGUACUACAAAGUGAAAUGGUUUGAUCAUGUCCCCAUGGUUCAGUUGGAAACUAUCCCCAGUGCAGAGUUCUGAGAGGUGGGGUCUAAUAGGAGGAGUUUGUCAUGGGGCACCGGCCUCGUGCAUUGAUCAAUAUUGUACUUUACAUUUCUUACAAGAACUUGGCUCCCUCUCACCUUCUGUUUGCCCUUCUUCCAUGAGAUGGCUCAGCAAGAAGGUCCUUGCCAGAAAUGCCAGCCCCUUGAUCUUGGGCUUCCCAGCUUCUAGAACCACAAGUCAGUAAAUUUCUGCUUAUUUAAAAGGUACCCAGUGUGGUAUUCUGUUAUAGUAACACAAAACAGAAGCCAAUCCGAAAAGGCUAUUCCACCCAUGGAACCUUCUGGAAGAAGCAAAACUAUGAAGGCAGGAAAAAGAUCAGCAGUUGCCAGGAGUUAAGGGAAGAAUGAAUAGGCUGAGCACAGAGGAUUUUUAAGGUGGUGAAACUAGAUCGUGUUCCUGCAGUGGAGGAUACAAGUCCACUAUAGAAUGUAUGUCACCAACGGUGAGCCCUAGGGAUAAACUGUCACCAGCUGGCCGGGGUGGUGAGAUGACCUGGGUUCAAAGGAGCUGGCUGCAUAAUAAAACGUCGAAGAAACCACACAGCACACAAACAUGAGAUUCUAAGAAUGAGGGCAGGAUGGCUGUGACCCUAAGGGUCAGCUCCUGGCUGGGCAGCGCUGGAAAAAGCAAGAGAGCGAGCACACCCGAAACAUCUCCCUCCUACAAUUUACUGGAGAGAAGACAAUAGAAUAUUCCACCCAAAUAAGGUAAGGAGCAGGAUUUUGAAGGGUGGAGUCUUGCGUGGUGAUGCCUUGUGAUCAGCAGAUUGAUUGACAUCUUGGCAAAUCACACCCAUCUCAAGUGCUGUGUGGGAUCGUGGGCAGAGUGAGAGGACACAUUUGUGUCACGCAGCCGGAUCAGCGCACAACGCCAGACCAGUCCCCUCACAUGCUCAAAUGCUCAUAGCUCACACACAGAGCCCUGGGUGGCUGGCGACAAUAAACUAUGGACUUUAGGGGCUGGGUUGUGGCCCAGUGGGCGCUUUCCUAG
rnacentral:lncRNA from 1 species